GACGAACGCUGGCGGCGUGCCUAAUACAUGCAAGUGGGACGCAAGGGAACACACUGUGCUUGCACACCGUGUUUUCUUGAGUCGCGAACGGGUGAGUAACGCGUAGGUAACCUGCCUAUUAGCGGGGGAUAACUAUUGGAAACGAUAGCUAAUACCGCAUAAUAUUAAUUAUUGCAUGAUAAUUGAUUGAAAGAUGCAAGCGCAUCACUAGUAGAUGGACCUGCGUUGUAUUAGCUAGUUGGUAAGGUAAGAGCUUACCAAGGCGACGAUACAUAGCCGACCUGAGAAGGUGAUCGGCCACACUGGGACUGAGACACGGCCCAGACUCCUACGGGAGGCAGCAGUAGGGAAUCUUCGGCAAUGGACGAAAGUCUGACCGAGCAACGCCGCGUGAGUGAAGAGGGUUUUCGGAUCGUAAAGCUCUGUUGUAAGUCAAGAACGUGUGUGAGAGUGGAAAGUUCACACAGGACGAUAGCUACCAGAAAGG
rnacentral:rRNA from 1 species